GGAAAAGCAGCGAAGCCAAACUAAGGUGAUUCUUGAAGAUUCAUUCCAGCGAUGGUGCAACUGAAGCAGACGAAGGGUCUACAGACUGAUGCAUUGGUCGCCAAAUUACUCCUGGACAGUGGCUUUAUUGGCCGGGGAGAGGGAGAUGCUGGAGUUGAAGCUGGACACUGAGGAGGAGGACGAGGACGUGUUUCUGAGUCUGCUGCUGUCAGAGGGAAGCUUCACUCCAGAGCGAGUCCGCAGUGUCUGAAAGAAAAUGGAUAACCAAUCAAAUAUUUAUUCUCAACCAUCUACUGAUGUCUGUGGUCCAUUUUGUGGAGAAUAAGAGAAUUUGAAUAGACUUUGAUACUAGGGCUGUGUAUUGGCAAAAACAUGAUAAAAUGUCCAUAACUCA